AUUCAGAGCAGUCAUCGCUGUUCCGUUGUGCUGUUAAAAUCAACGUUGACAGAUCGAGCUGCCAUGCAUUGGCACAGAGGAACGCUGCUCAUGUCAGAUUUGGACAUCUGUGUGAUGUGUCCCGAGGGGCGGCAGGCAUGACCAUGAAUGAGCUGGACGUGCAGGCCCUGGCUACCCUCCUCCACCCCCCACAAGCCGAGGACAGUGAUGACAAUGACUACAAACCCCAAAAAAGCAUUACUCCUGCUGACCUGGGGUCCAAUAUCCAUAAAGCAGGGCAGAGUGGAUGCUCCAUGCAACCUGUAAAUGACACACUCAAGGCUUCCUCCAUGCCAGGUAGGGCAUGGCUACAUACCCUGGGGCUUCCAAACCUUGAGUUUUACUCAUUAUAAUUUCAUUAUCUACUAGUGCAAAAAUAUUAUAAAAAUUGUAAA